CAAGGCCGAGGAGGCCAGAGCCCAACCACCCCCCACCCCCACCCCACACACACACCCAGAGCACCCACCUGACCCUGAUCCACCAUGGGCUUCAGGCAGCUCUGCUGUGUGGUCCUCUGUCUCCUGGGCAUAGCCAUCUCCGCGGACCCUGGGAUCACUCAGAUACCAAAAUACCUAGUCAUGGGAAUGGCGGACAAGAAAUCUUUGACAUGUGAACAACAUCUGGGACAUGAUGCUAUGUACUGGUAUAAACAGAGCGCCCAGAAGCCGCCAGAGCUCAUGUUUGUCCACAACUACCAGAAACUCACUGGAAAUGAGAGUGUUCCAAGCCGCUUCUGGUCUGAAUGCCCAGACAGCUCUCAGUGCCGCCUGGACCUGAACGCCCUGAAACCACAGGACUCCGCCGUCUAUCUCUGCGCCAGCAGUAGAGACACAGCCCUGCAGAGGCAAUUCCUUCCUGUGCACAAACCUCCAGGGUCCAGACAGGAAGCCGUGGGGGCCAUCCAAGUCUUGGUUUGGCAUUUCCCAUCAGACCAUAGCCCUGUCUGUGGGGUCACGUGGCAAGGCGGUGAAGAGUUUCUUCCCAGACAUCAACAGUGUAUGCCAGGCUUGUCCUGAGAAAGACUGUGCCAAGCCAUUCAAGUUUAAGCAGUUUCUUCAUCUGCUUUUCCCAAUCGCUUUGAUCCUCUGGGAACCCUUUCGUAAGACCCUUGGCCCUCUGGCCACAGCAGUCCUACCUACCCUCCUUCUAAAAGGUGCUUUUUCUCCGACUUCACCUUCCAUCCAAGCUAGACCUGGAUCUCAGCCCAGAUCCCAGCUCCAGAUAUGCUCAGACCUUCUUCAGAGCACCUCGUUCUCUCUCCAGGGCCUCUGUCUGUUCCUGCCCUUGAGGACCAUGGACCCCCGAUCCUGUUGGGAUCGCUGUUCUCCAGUUCACCCUCCUGGCUGCUUGUUCAAGGGCUCAGCCCCUCACUGGCCUCUCUUCCACUCCAGCCUUAACCCUUCAGGCUUGAUUCUGUUUUUCUUCUGUCUCUUCAGGUCUUCACACCCUGUCAUAUCAGCCAUAGAGUCCGAUGUCCUUGGAUCAUUGCUCACAGCAGGCAGUGAGAACAGGCAGCGGCCUCCUGAUGUUUCGGAGCACAACUUUGUGUUCGGGGUUGUCUUUGCUGAACCCCGUAUCUUCCACCCUCGGGGUUGCACAUACC